rnacentral:lncRNA from 1 species
GCUUUGAUGGAUUCUGCCAGAUGCAGUAAUUCCCCAAGGGAUUCCACACAGCAUGGGGAGCCUGCACUUAGCACACAGGAAGAGCUGUGCCUUGGGGCUCAUUGCUGUUUCCCAUCCUGGAGUUCGCAGAACUGGGUUUUGUCUGCAGCCACCCAGCCGAUGCCUAGGAAAUGGACUCCUCCUCUGAUGGCCUUGGUGGCUGCUGGAGAGGAGGAGGGAGGAGAUGGUCUGGGUUGCUGCUAAUGCCCGGUGAUGGUGACGUGCUGCACAGCGCUGAGGGGGGUGAUAAAAGAAGAGGCAGCUGCCGGGUGGUCAGAAUGGCUCGAGUGGCUGUGGAACCACAGCAGCCCUGGGCAGUGAGAGAUGAUCAGGCGGUCACACAGGAAGCUGCAGAAACUGUUUCUCAGAAAGGAAGAAGGCAUCGUGAAGGAGAUUGACAUUAGCAGCCAUGUGAAGGAAGGCUUCGAGAAGGCAGACCCCUCCCAGUUCGAGCUGCUAAAAGUUUUAGGACAAGGGUCGUAUGGAAAGGUGUUCUUGGUGAGGAAAGUCACAGGAUCGGAUGCUGGUCAGCUCUACGCCAUGAAAGUCCUGAAGAAAGCCACCUUGAAAG